rnacentral:rRNA from 1 species
GUGGGGAAUAUUGGACAAUGGGCGAAAGCCUGAUCCAGCCAUGCCGCGUGUGUGAAGAAGGUCUUCGGAUUGUAAAGCACUUUAAGUUGGGAGGAAGGGCAGUAAGUUAAUACCUUGCUGUUUUGACGUUACCGACAGAAUAAGCACCGGCUAACUUCGUGCCAGCAGCCGCGGUAAUACGAAGGGUGCAAGCGUUAAUCGGAAUUACUGGGCGUAAAGCGCGCGUAGGUGGUUUUGUAAGUUGGAGGUGAAAUCCCCGGGCUCAACCUGGGAAAUGCCUUCAAAACUGCAUGACUAGAGUACGGUAGAGGGUAGUGGAAUUUCCUGUGUAGCGGUGAAAUGCGUAGAUAUAGGAAGGAACACCAGUGGCGAGGGCGACUACCUGGACUGAUACUGACACUGAGGUGCGAAAGCGUGGGGAGCAAACAGGAUUAGAAACCCGGGUAGUCC